AUGCCGUCGCCUCUGACGGAGAUCCCCGCCCACCUCCUGGCGGAGAUCUUCCUCCGGCUGCCCACCACGGAAGACCUCGCCCGCGCCUCUGCCGCCUGCGUCUCCUUCCACCGACUCGCCACCGACGGCUCCUUCCUCCGCAGCUUCCGCCGCCUCCACGCACCACCACUCCUUGGAUUCCUCGACUACGGCAGGUUCCGUCCCGCUCUGUCGCCGCACCCAUCCGCGCCCGCAGCCCGCGCGCUCGCCCUCGUUGCCGACUUCUACUUCUCCUUCAUCGACUCCUACUGCCACUGGACCGUGCAGGACUCCCGCGACGGCCGCGUCCUCCUCGACUGCGACCUCCGACAACAUGAGCAGCCCCCGGUUUUCAAAGAUCUCGCGGUGUGCGACCCCUUGCACCGCCGGUACGUCCUGCUCCCCCCGGUACCUCACGGCCUAGCCGCCUCGCUUGAGCACCCGUUCCCCAUGGUAAGCGACGCCCGGUGCAAGGCUUUCCUCGUUCCCCUCGGCAAGGAGGAGGUAGCGGCGGCAGAGACAACAUUCAGAGUCAUCUUGAUGGCAAAUUGCAAAACUAGUCUGGCUGCCUUCGUCUUCUCUUCGAGCACUGGGCAAUGGCAAGCCUCUGCAUCCAAGGUUAAUUUGGAGCGAUUUGGCCCUUGGCAAGCACGACAUGUCCGAGAUGUCAUGGGUCCACCCUUUUAUUCUCAGACGCCAUUAUGCUUACGGCUGCUUCUACUGGGACUGGGUGGAAUUCGGGGUCCAGAAGUUGCUCUUGCUUGA
rnacentral:rRNA from 1 species